CAGAGUUCAUGCCCUAACCGGGUAGAUCUCCCAUCCUCUGUUUAUCAUUACCUUUGUUGCUUUGGCGGGCCGUCAGGCCUUGGUCAUGCUACCGGCUCUAGCUGGUAAGCGCCCGCCAGAGGACCCAAAACUCUGAAUGUUAGUGUCGUCUGAGUACUAUAUAAUAGUUA
rnacentral:misc_RNA from 1 species